rnacentral:rRNA from 1 species
GGUGAACGCUGGCGGCGUGCUUAAGACAUGCAAGUCGAACGGGCUCUUCGGAGCCAGUGGCGCACGGGUGAGUAACGCGUAACUGACCUACCCCAAAGUCGCGGAUAACGAUUCGAAAGAAUCGCUAAUACGUGAUGUGCUGUCAGAUCCUGUUCUGCCAGUAAAGAUUUAUUGCUUUGGGAUGGGGUUGCGUUCCAUCAGCUAGUUGGUGGGGUAAAGGCCCACUAAGGCGACGACGGAUCGCCGGCCUGAGAGGGUGGCCGGCCACAGGGGCACUGAGACACGGGUCCCACUCCUACGGGAGGCAGCAGUUAGGAAUCGUCCACAAUGGGCGAAAGCCUGAUGGAGCGACGCCGCGUGAGGGAUGAAGGUCCUCGGAUCGUAAACCUCUGAAUCAGGGACGAAAGACGCGAAAGCGGGAUGACGGUACCUGAGUAAUAGCACCGGCUAACUCCGUG